ACUACAGCCAUAUAGAUAGAAAGAGAGAGACAGAGAGAGAGACAGAGAGAGGGGGUGGGGUGGGGGUGGCUAUAGGGUUGCGUAGUCACUUGUGACUACCUCAUUUACCCCCGACACCCGACAUUGCACGGAGCAAAUAGCGGAUAUAUCAGCUGUAUGUGUGAUCACGGAGGGGAAUCGCAGGAUGACCGGCGUGGAGAAAUGUGCGUCCUGUGUGAACCGCCGGGCGGCUGCGCGCAGCUACACGGCGCAGUGCGCCGUGGCGCUGCGCUUCCGCGUCCUGUGUGAACCCGGCGUAAACCACCUACCGCUCAAAAAACAUACCGGGUUUCCAAGAUGACGGGGAAAUUGUGCGGACUGUGUUACAACACAUUUGCAAACCUAAAACAACACCUGCUGCUGUCACAUAAAGUGACAAACAAACAGGAGUUGCAGCUCCUCCUGCAAUACGGAAAUGCCCGAACUACAAAGAGGUUGUCAUGCUGCAUAUGUCAUAAGAAACAGCUUGUCCGCCUGGACAAACACCUGCAGGAGACACACACCUUGACGUCCGCAGAUGAGCGAGAACCUCUAAUGAAGGACGCCAAGAGGGCCGCCAUCGUCCUGGAACUCUCAGCACUGCGGCAGUCCGGCCCCGAAAUUCCUAUGGUCUCAACAUUGGACAGAACCGCUACUGAGGAACUUGCCUGUUAACUUGCUGAAUAUAGCGUGGCAGGAUGCUGGGAUGAAGGGCACCAUCGAUUUCACCAAAAUCAGGAGCAGCGUGGCCACUCAAGCGAACAAGUUCCUUACAGAGAAAGAGAGACGGCAGGUGACGAGCCAGUGUACGAUGAUGAACCUGACAGCAGCUUGCCACUGUCUGCGGAGGAGUUGAGACAGAUGAAGCGGAAAAGGGGAAUGGAGGUUUCGUCUUCCGGAGAAGAGGACCUGGAAGCAGAGAAAAGCAGUGACUAUGUUAUCCCCAGUAAGUCAGUAUGUUCAGUGGUGGUCGACUAUUAACCAUUAACCAUGUUCCUGGUUAAUUUCAUUCUACCGCUUGUGAUAAAUGGGAACUCCACCAUUAAUUGUAAAUAAUUCAAAUUAAGCAAGUUAAUAUUUCUCACAUUGGCUCACAAACAUACAGAAAGUCUGGGUGUAUAAAAACAUUUCUGAAGUAUAAUGUUGUUUUUGUUAAAUUACUGUUACUGUUGUAUUGAUGAUUGUAAAUUUGUAAAGUUUAACGUGUGUGUUUGUGUGUGUAUAUAUAUAUAUACACUACCGUUCAAAAGUUUGGGGUCACUUAGAAAUUACCUUAUUUUUCAAAGAAAAGCACAGUUUCUUUCAAUGAAGAUAACA